rnacentral:rRNA from 1 species
GACAGAGGGUGCAAACGUUGUUCGGAAUUACUGGGCGUAAAGCGUGUGUAGGCGGCCGCGUAAGUCGGAUGUGAAAGCCCUGGGCUCAACCCAGGAAGUGCACUCGAUACUGCGUGGCUCGAGUACUGGAGAGGUUGGUGGAAUUCUCGGUGUAGAGGUGAAAUUCGUAGAUAUCGAGAGGAACACCGGUGGCGAAGGCGGCCAACUGGACAGAUACUGACGCUGAGACACGAAAGCGUGGGGAGCAGACAGG